UGCUCGGAGAGGCUGGCUGGAGCUGACCCAGAGCAGGGGAGCAGUCGGAGCCCGGGUCCGGAGGCCGGCUGCGGGUGCUUCCCGGACGCGCUGGGCGCCCGGGCCCGAGGUCCGCGGGAGAUUGUGCUCCUGGGGCAGCGAAAACGGCCGGAAAACGAGGAAGAUGGCUCUGACAGCAAGAAAGCGGAUGGGCAGCGUGGAGAGACAGAUUUCACUUUGGGUUGCCUCUUUAACUUGUCCUAGAAACCUGAUGAAGUUACAACGUCAACUGUGUUAUAAAACAUCCUUGUUUGUGUCAGAAGUGCUCUCUGACUGGUACACUGCUUCUGGCUGGACAAAACGGAAUCAUCUUUAAACACCUGUCAGGAAGCCAGAAUUUGAGGAUCUCCCUUAACUGAGUUUGGGGAUGUAAAAGGUAAAUCCAGGCAACUAUUAUGAGAUGUGCAAGUUCCCACGGUCUAGGAUUCUAAGCCAGGGCAGUCCCGACGCCUUCAUCUUGCACCUGAGUUGCAUUUGGGGAACCACAGAGCAGCUCUGUGAGGAGCUCACGUGUGCUUACGUGGACUGCAAAGGGGAGCAUCUCAGAAUGCCCCGCUCCCAACGUGUGUUUUUUCUUUGACUUUUUAAAUGAAGCUGCUGCCAGGUGUCGCAUUACAGGAGUAUAAAUGGGCAACCUAAGAAGAUCUCCUACUGAGCACUUAACAAUGUCUUACAUCUCCCCCUGGAAAUCUUACAGGUUCUGCUUCGCUUUCAGUUAAAAGUGAACAUAGAAGCCUUACUCUUCUGUCAACAUGGACUGAAAAGUCUAGGGCCCCAUCCUCCUGCUAUAAGACAGAUUUUGCAACAAAAAAAAAAAAAAAAAUUGUUGGAUUGCUGGGCUUUAGAAAUUAAAACAAAUCUCCAGGGGAUCAAGAAAGAAGCAGGGAGGUGGGGGAGGGCGUGAGCUAUAAAUAGUGAGGGUAUAAGAAAGGCAGGUUUCCCUGAGGGAAGGUACCCCCUGUUGGCAUUGCCAGUAGGAAAUAAGCUCUUGGGCCUCUGUGGUGGUGAGAAUAUGAAUGUGAGGCUCCCGGUUUAAGCCAGAGAUCCUGGAAGGCCUUCCUCACAUUAUGCUCCCCUGUUUUUCACAGUUUAAGAUCAAGCAACUGUGGGGGGGGCCUGGGUGGCGCAGUCAGUCAUACAUCAGAUUCUUGAUUUCGGCUCAGGUCAUGACCUCAUGGUUCGUGACGUUGAGCCCUGCGUCGGGCUCUGCACUGACAGCACGGAGCCUGCUUUGAUCCUCUCUCUGCCCCUCCCCCACUCACACUCUCUCUCAAAAUGAAUAAACUUGAAGAAAGAAAAGAUCACAAAAUACACAGGAGAAGAAACCACAAUAAUUGAGAGUUGAAAAAAUAUAAACUGCAGAUUGCCCUCCCAAGGAGCUCAGAUACUGAAAUUCUCAGAAACAACACUACGUGAAAUGUUUAAGGAAAUGAGUUAAAGUGAGAAACCAGCAGGGGACCCCCAUAGUGACCGGAGAGCCGCUCUGUAUCGGUCCUCUUCUUUGCAGCCUUCUCUUCCGGAACAGUCUUAUCCUCAAGCCAUUAGGUGAUGCCGGUGGUGAUACCGACAGGGGCAGGGGAGAUGGAGAUGGCUUUGCUGACCCACAUCUGAGAAUCAGAACCCAGGCUCCUUACGAGCGAGAUCAAAACGGGGAGGAGUAUGUCCUUGCGGAUUGGCAGGCUGGGGUAAGGAGUCAGCUUGGCAGGAUGAGGCACUGGGGUCAGUGCGACAUGGAGAGUCCCGGCCCGGGCAGGACAGGAGGACGCCACCCCGGGGUGGGGGCCGCGUGUGAGCUGGCUGUAGCAGCAGGCGGUGAACUGGGACAUCAGCAUGCCAGCGCUGUGGGAGGGCUUCCACGCUGCUGGGAGGUGGUGGGGCCCAGGAGGUCAGAGCUGGGUGUGAGUGGUGAGAGCAUCUCCGUGGGCAGCAGAACCGCGGUGGGGACAGCCUGCCGCUUGUGAGCAAACAAACUGACCGCUCUCGCCGUGAUGACCGUUCCUGGGACGGCCCGCAGGCGGGGCCAGGGUCUGCAGACAAGAGGGAAGGAAGGUAACGAGGUUGACUUAUCUUCAUGACUGUAGGUGAUCUGUAGGAAGAGAGUUCUUGUCGGAAGUUCAUACUGAGGUACUUGUCAGUGAUGCAGCCUCAACUCAGAGGCUUAUUCUCAAAUGGUGCAAAGGAAAGGGUUUUAAUUUACUGCAUGUUGAACUUUUCGGUAAGUUUUUUGUUUUUGUUUUUGUUUUGCUUUGAAACAAAAAAAAUAUUAAAAACAAAAAAAAAGGGCUGAAAAGAAUGUUCAAAAAUGUAAUUGCAGAGGCGCUUGGUUGGCUCAGUUGGUUCAGCAUCCAACUCCUGAUUUUGGCUCAGGUCAUGAUUCCACAGUUUGUGAGUUCAAGCCCCGCAUCAGGCUCUUGUGCUGACAGUGUGGAUCCUGC